UCGCAGCCCAUUCAUUCUCUGCCAACUUCGUAGCUUCUCUACUUCAUGUUCGCUUCGUCGCGAUGCAUCAUUGCUGUCAUGCUUGCGUAACAAGUUUCUUCCCACUUCGUUUCUUGUGCUACGAGUAGUGUCCAGUGCAGCGGGGCUGUUCCAUUUGUUUGCUGCGUCGGAUGGUGGACUCGCUUUAUCUAACGAGCGCGUAGUUUUUGUUCUGAAAGUCCAUUUCGAAUAUUUUCAUUUUGCGAUGCGUUGGUAGUCUGUGAAUUUAUUUUCUUAUGAGUAUCUUGACGAAUAAAGAUUGAGAUAAUUUUCUAGCCGUGCUUUUUAUGUCCAUGUUUCUGAAUGUUUUCAGACGAAUGGAGAGAUUUCUUGAAGAAACUCAGGUUUCUGAGAUUUUUUUAUGUGACAUUGAAGUGCCGGAGAUUGUUUUGUCGUGCAACCAUGGAAGAGGAUGUUGCAUUUGAGUUUCUUUGGUGAAGUACCGUUCGUGUUCAUUUAGCUUUCAUGAUCGGAAUCAGUCAAUUGGCCGCGGGCUCGCUUUGGAGCUUACAGAUAUUAGGAUCAUAAUAUAGUAGAUGAAGAUUUGUUUCGGCACUGGAGCUGUCGUGAUCUUUCCAGAGAUUGCAUUAGCGAGGUCUACUUACCAGGCCGUACUCAGAAUCCUCACAUGCUAUGUAUCUGACUGUACCCGCUAAUGUAGAAUAAGAUCUGAUGGACACUGCAGUCGCUUACGGAACCACAUUGAGAACCAGGAGGAUUGCCAACUUAUUCCAGGAUUGGUGCAAUUUAGCUUCUAUUCCAUCAUGGUUGAGUAACGAGUGGUAAAAGUGGCUCUAAUUUCAUGCAUGUCGCGCUUCCAGUCGCCCGCAGCUGCACCGCAGUGACAGGUUCUCAAGUUAGUGACCAACAGGUCUGGAGGAGGGGCAGCUGGUCAGACUUGUUUUGAUAUUCUCCUGUAUGUCUCCAUCCAAACGUAGCUAUGUAAUUCUAUAUUAAUCAAUUUUACCUCUCAAAGCUCCUAAAACCCAUGGUAAAUGCUGGGAAGCCUACAUUGGCACAAGCCUGGAAAGUCUGAUAGCGUCAUAUGAUCCAUGCCUGAGCUUCCGUUUCAGUGAACCAUGUUGGCUCUUGAGCAGUGUGCUAACACAAACAAUCGGUUACCUAGAAUUUUACGACUUACCUAGCAUGAAGUAACUUCGCUGGAUGGAGCCUUGGGAGAUCAUAUUUCCGUAUGGUGAUUCCCAUCAAGCCGUGCUCUUCUGUUCUGAUGGCUCUAGGUGUUGACUGGUUGAACUCUUACAUACUUUUUACACUUUUGAGGGAUAAUCUAGGGGUCUAAUGAUUCUGGAGUUCAUACUUUCUCCAUCUCUUGGCAGCGACAAUUGAAGAGAUGUUGAUAUAUAUAUAUAUAUAUAUAUAUAUAUGAUCAAGUCGUUUGGCAUCGCUGAUCACGAGUCCGCUAGCAUGAGGAUACUAUUUCAUUGUGGUGAAAGCCGUCAACAUAGACGUGAAGACAUUAAAUUCAGUUACUCUGUCGCAAGUACUGGUGUAAGACCAAGAGAAACAGACCAUCAGAAACUGUUGCUGGGUCGCUUGUGCGGCGAAAAUGAACGUCUUACAGAAAAUUCUCAGCUCCACUCUCAAGUGCAUAAGAAAUACAGUCCUUACGAUGCAAAUAGAAUGUUCCACGUUUUCAAAGUACUUACCCUCGUGAGCUGUUUUUAGAGAAAGAAAAGGAAAAUCAAGUGAAUUCGCGUGUCUGUGACGAUCUUCAAAUUACGUAAAUCUAAUUUAGUUGCUUGCCUCAAACCAAGGAGAUCAAUAUAAACUUAACCUUACAAAGCCUCACGAGCUGUUUCGCCUCAGUGAAGGCCUUGAGAGUCUAUUGAGGAAAAGUUAUCAAAGGAGUGGUUAGAGCAUGCGUCAGCUGAAGAUCCAGAGAUAAAGAAUCAAGCGCCACUAUCAACUCUUAGUCCUCAAAAUCCGGCUCCUCAAAUCGGUAUGUUCUGAAUAUAUUAUCCAACUGCAACACAUCAAGAUGGAGUGUUAAUGAGAAAUGGAAUACCUGAUGGAUAGGUGCAUCAUCAAUUUCUUUUAGGAGAUGUACUACUUAUUUUGUGAAUGCAGUUGUAACCAAUGCUGUGGUGGGCAAUCAGAGGGCAGGAUAGAUGAACAUUUAUCAUAGGGUGUGGUACUUCGGUGACAGAACUCAUCAGUAGCCUUAGGAACGUUGGUUUAUAAUUUUUGCAACUCCACAAGGUAAUUUAACACUACUACAUCAUGUGCACACUACAUUGUGAAGUUUGGAAUAUACUUGCACACUAUCCAACAGAAGGAGUACCGCACAAAACUCUAUUGAGACACUUAUUGAAACACUCAACUAUUUAAUUGAUUUAUUACCGAAUAUAUUUUUCUAGUGGA